CUGACUGGUAUCUCAAACCAGAAAAAAUCCUAUAGAAGAUCACCAAAUAGAUUAUAAACUAAUACAAUAAAAAUGUUUCUACAAAAAUAAUAUUUUCUGCUAUCCCAUGCCACUUCAUGCCAACUGCAGCUGCAGCAUUUUAUUCUAAUUCCCUCAGGAAGGGGCAUGUCAUGAUAAAAAGAAACUGAUAAGAGUCAAAUUUUUGCUUUGAAAUUUCAAAAAUCAUGUUCAAUGGAUUAGUCAUUAUUUGGAAGAUUUGGAAGAAUAAACCAUAACUCAAAGUCAAGGUCCAGAUCUGAGUAAAGAGACAGUGUCUUUUGAUUCGUAUUUCGCUUAUGACUGUUUCUUAACUACAUGUAUUUGGUCACCAAUAUUUUAAAGAAAAUACAAAAGAUAUUAUUGGUUUGACGUAAUUACUUUAAAGAAACUCUGUUCCUUUUUGUACAAAUUACAGACCAACUGAUCAUCUCCAAUCAUGCUUGCCUUACCCUCCCUCCAUAUGGGUCCCAGGGCAAUAAAUU
rnacentral:lncRNA from 1 species